UUUUUUUAUGCACUCUUCUUCAAAGUGCCUUGAACAAAUCUUGGCUCUCAAUGGAUUGAAACUUUUAUCCGAACGGCCUAUAGCAUGAAUGAGAGCAGCUAGCCACUCGUCUUGCUCUUUCGAUACACCUGCCCGCGGAAGGACAGAAAAGCUUACACCAAAAGAUUUGAUACUAGCACAGUGGCAUCCUAUCAUGCAGCAGUACGAACCACCUUUAGGGUGUUUCUUUAUUGUUGUUACUCUCGCAGACUUUGUUGACAUAGUCAUUGAGAUCGUUCGCUAAACAGUAGGAUAAUCCACGAAUAAAUAUACGUCCGUGAAUAAAGCGGAAGCUUUAAACCAACCAGCCUCUUUCUGGUAUUAAAUUGGAUUCUCACACAUACUUCUAUGAUUUCUAGACUGAAGAUUUCCCCCAGUUCGGCCGCAACUCUAGGGGAGCUGUGAAUACGCGCGCGGAGUGUACUGCGUUUAUAUAUAAGCAGUAGCCCUACAUUAUUAUUAUUUUUUUAUAUAUAUAUCAUUUGUGAAAAUGGUGAGUUCCUGCUGUGCAGUCGGUUGCACUAACCGACAGACAAAAAGAUUCCAGCAAGUCUUUUCAUGUAUUACCAUCAAAUGCAUCACAGAGGGCCUUAAUUAUGGCUAAAGGCUGGUCCUGGCAAUAAAUUAUUCUGAGCAGUUUUCCUUACCUCACUGACGGUGUAUUGCUUUUUUAAGUGUUUCUUUUAAAAAACAUUAGAGAAGUGCACACUAGUGUUGGCACUGCAUGCUGGAUGCAAAUUAACAAGACAAAUCACUGGAAUUCUGUUAACAUGCUUAUAUUUAGUUGUGUGUCUCAUACACAGUGCACAGUAUUUAUUUUUCAUUCUUGCUUGUAUAACACUUCAUAUUUUUUUUUAAACAAUAGCCACUUUGUAUAUUUUUCAGACUGCGUUAUUAGUGUAACUUAAUCUUUAGGUUUCAUAUUUCACUGACUUUGAACUCUCCUCAAAAAACAAAAAUGCUAAUAAACUGUCACUUAACUGAA